rnacentral:rRNA from 1 species
AUUGAACGCUGGCGGCAUGCUUUACACAUGCAAGUCGAACGGUAACAGGCCGCAAGGUGCUGACGAGUGGCGAACGGGCGAGUAAUGCAUCGGAACGUGCCCAGUCGUGGGGGAUAACUACUCGAAAGAGUAGCUAAUACCGCAUACGAUCUAUGGAUGAAAGCGGGGGACCGUAAGGCCUCGCGCGAUUGGAGCGGCCGAUGUCAGAUUAGGUAGUUGGUGGGGUAAAGGCUCACCAAGCCAACGAUCUGUAGCUGGUCUGAGAGGACGACCAGCCAUACUGGGACUGAGACACGGCCCAGACUCCUACGGGAGGCAGCAGUGGGGAAUUUUGGACAAUGGGCGCAAGCCUGAUCCAGCAAUGCCGCGUGCAGGAAGAAGGCCUUCGGGUUGUAAACUGCUUUUGUACGGAACGAAACGGCUCUGGUUAAUACCCGGGGCUAAUGACGGUACCGUAAGAAUAAGCACCGGCUAACUACGUG